rnacentral:tRNA from 1 species
CAAGGUGUAGCGCAGUCUGGUUAGCGCAUCUGUUUUGGGCACAGAGGGCCAUAGGUCCGAAUCCUGCCACCUCGA